CGCGUCUUCCUUGUGGGCAAGGGGGGUCGCGACAACAGAUGAUGCCAAUUUGAGAAUAAGCAUUAGCCCCAGAGACAAGAUAACGUGAGUAGCUAAUCACGAGGAUCUCAUGAGAACUAGACCCCAUCAAAAAGCCUAUGGCAGAAAAAAAAUUAUUUUUCAUAGUAACACCUGUUCUCUGACUAAGGUAUAUAACUGCCCCUGCCAAGCAUCUAGGAUCAUUGUCCAAGAUGGCACACCUAUCAUAACUCAGUAACUUAGUAAUAAAAGAAAACAGGGAGAAAGUAAAUGAACAUAAUUAUAGAGUUUACCAAAGUUCUGUUUAAAUCCAUUAAGUGAAAAAAAAAAACAAGCAGCAUUGAAAUCUACCUGAAGAAUCAGAAGAUUGUUACUGCAUUGCUGUGUUUUACAGAAUGUAAACAGUACAAAAGACUGUAGGGACAGUUUAUGAUUGAGUGUAGUCACUGAUGUCCAUCAAAAGAAGUUCUCAACAAUACUUUCUCCUCUUUUGUGAGCUUCUGAGAAGAAUUGCAGCAUGCAGGCAGCUGCCCAUGGGUGAAGAAAGGAGGAAUUUGCAGAGAUGGAGUUCCAGGUUAUGCAAGGAAGAAGCUGGUGAAGAGAUUUCUCCUGCUUGGACAGAUGGUAAAAGAGCUAGGAAUAGUGUGGGUGUUCAUGCCCUCCCAGUACAUUUGGCCUGCCUCUGUGUUCCCCUGCAACUGAGCUAGGUAUUGUCAAGGACCCACAUCUCUCUCCUCUGACUGAGUGCUUUCUUUUGCAUGGGGGAGCUUAGUCAGUACUCUUAAAGAACGUUCAAAACUCGACCGAUGACUAAUGAGGGUUGGUGGAUGAAUACCCGGGUUUCUCAUGGACUGAUGGGAUAAUUCUAGGUACUACAAACCUCUGAGAAGACGCUGGAAGAAUGGAAUCACAAUUCCAUAUGUGAUCGUAUAUUCACAAAUACCCCACCAGCCUUUGUGACUCUUCUGCUAAUCUCAUGUGCACUUCCUAGAAUCGAUUCCUAAACAAACCACCAGAACCCAAGCCCUUUGUUGCAGGGUCUACUUUGGAGGAAACCCAACCUAACACAACAGGCUUUGGAAUCAGAUAAAUCCUAAUUCUCCUUGAAUCAUUUAGUAGUUGCCUGGCCUUGAACAAGUAGCUUCUUUUUAGAGUUCAGUGUCCUUGUCUGCAGAAUGUGGGUGAUUGUAGCUCGACUUAUUUCAUAGGACUAUGUUGAAGAUUAAAGAAGAUGUAAACCACAGAGCACCUGGUGUUUGAUAGUUCAUAAAUAAAUGCUGGCCAUUCUGAUUGUGAUUUUUCUUUUUAUUUAUUUAUUUAUUUAGGCACAGGGUAACCCAGCAGUAUUUAUCCGUUGAGC
rnacentral:lncRNA from 1 species